rnacentral:rRNA from 1 species
UACGGAGGGUGCAAGCGUUAUCCGGAUUCACUGGGUUUAAAGGGUGCGUAGGUGGGCAGUUAAGUCAGUGGUGAAAUCUCCGGGCUUAACCCGGAAACUGCCAUUGAUACUAUCUGUCUUGAAUACCGUGGAGGUAAGCGGAAUAUGUCAUGUAGCGGUGAAAUGCUUAGAUAUGACAUAGAACACCAAGUGCGAAGGCAGCUUACUACACGUACUAUUGACACUGAGGCACGAAAGCGUGGGGAUCAAACAGG